rnacentral:rRNA from 1 species
GACGAACGCUGGCGGCGUGCUUAACACAUGCAAGUCGAACGGAAAGGCCCUGCUUUUGUGGGGUGCUCGAGUGGCGAACGGGUGAGUAACACGUGAGUAACCUGCCCUUGACUUUGGGAUAACUUCAGGAAACUGGGGCUAAUACCGGAUAGGAGCUCCUGCUGCAUGGUGGGGGUUGGAAAGUUUCGGCGGUUGGGGAUGGACUCGCGGCUUAUCAGCUUGUUGGUGGGGUAGUGGCUUACCAAGGCUUUGACGGGUAGCCGGCCUGAGAGGGUGACCGGCACAUUUGGGCCUGGGUUACGGCCAGACUCCUACGGGAGGCAGCAGUGGGGAAUAUUGCACAAUGGGCGGAAGCCUGAUGCAGCAACGCCGCGUGCGGGAUGACGGCCUUCGGGUUGUAAACCGCUUUCGCCUGUGACGAAGCGUGAGUGACGGUAAUGGGUAAAGAAGCACCGGCUAACUACGUG